GAGAGUCGCAGAUACCAGGUGGCUGCAACUGUUUAUUAAAAACACAGCACUGUGCAAAAUCGUAAGAUGACGUAUACGGUGUGACGCCUGCCCGGUGCCGGAAGGUUAAUUGAUGGGGUUAGACUUCGGUCGAAGCUCUUGAUCGAAGCCCCGGUAAACGGCGGCCGUAACUAUAACGGUCCUAAGGUAGCGAAAUUCCUUGUCGGGUAAGUUCCGACCUGCACGAAUGGCGUAAUGAUGGCCACGCUGUCUCCACCCGAGACUCAGUGAAAUUGAAAUCGCUGUGAAGAUGCAGUGUACCCGCGGCUAGACGGAAAGACCCCGUGAACCUUUACUACAGCUUGGCACUGAACAUUGACCCUACAUGUGUAGGAUAGGUGGGAGGCUUUGAAGCACGUACGCCAGUAUGUGUGGAGCCGUCCUUGAAAUACCACCCUUGUAGUGUUGAUGUUCUAACGUCGACCCCUAAUCGGGGUUGCGGACAGUGCCUGGUGGGUAGUUUGACUGGGGCGGUCUCCUCCCAAAGAGUAACGGAGGAGCACGAAGGUGGGCUAAUCACGGUUGGACAUCGUGAGGUUAGUGCAAUGGCAUAAGCCCGCUUGACUGCGAGAAUGACAAUUCGAGCAGGUGCGAAAGCAGGUCAUAGUGAUCCGGUGGUUCUGAAUGGAAGGGCCAUCGCUCAACGGAUAAAAGGUACUCCGGGGAUAACAGGCUGAUACCGCCCAAGAGUUCAUAUCGACGGCGGUGUUUGGCACCUCGAUGUCGGCUCAUCACAUCCUGGGGCUGAAGUCGGUCCCAAGGGUAUGGCUGUUCGCCAUUUAAAGUGGUACGCGAGCUGGGUUUAGAACGUCGUGAGACAGUUCGGUCCCUAUCUGCCGUGGGCGUUGGAAGAUUGAAGGGGGCUGCUCCUAGUACGAGAGGACCGGAGUGGACGAACCUCUGGUGUUCGGGUUGUGUCGCCAGACGCAUUGCCCGGUAGCUAAGUUCGGAAUCGAUAACCGCUGAAAGCAUCUAAGCGGGAAGCGAGCCCUGAGAUGAGUCUUCCCUGAUACUUUAAGUAUCCUAAAGGGUUGU
rnacentral:rRNA from 1 species